UCUCCUGGAAACGGGUGGUAAUGCCGGAUGCUCCAGUUGAUCGCAUGGUCUUCUGGGAAAGCUUUCGCGGUAUGGGAUGGGGUCGCGUCCUAUCAGCUUGACGGCGGGGUAACGGCCCACCGUGGCUUCGACGGGUAGCCGGCCUGAGAGGGCGACCGGCCACAUUGGGACUGAGAUACGGCCCAGACUCCUACGGGAGGCAGCAGUGGGGAAUAUUGCACAAUGGGCGCAAGCCUGAUGCAGCGACGCCGCGUGAGGGAUGGAGGCCUUCGGGUUGUAAACCUCUUUUAUCGGGGAGCAAGCGAGAGUGAGUUUACCCGUUGAAUAAGCACCGGCUAACUACGUGCCAGCAGCCGCGGUAAUACGUAGGGUGCAAGCGUUAUCCGGAAUUAUUGGGCGUAAAGGGCUCGUAGGCGGUUCGUCGCGUCCGGUGUGAAAGUCCAUCGCUUAACGGUGGAUCCGCGCCGGGUACGGGCGGGCUUGAGUGCGGUAGGGGAGACUGGAAUUCCCGGUGUAACGGUGGAAUGUGUAGAUAUCGGAAAAAAAACACCA
rnacentral:rRNA from 2 species